GCGGCGCGCCUAAUACAUGCAAGUCGAGCGAGAAAGUUCUUCGGAAUGAGUACAGCGGCGGACGGGUGAGGAAUACGUAGAUAAUCUGCCUUAAAGAGGGGAAUAACUACUCGAAAGAGUAGCUAAUACCGCAUGAACCCUGAGGGGCAAAGCCGAGAGGCGCCUGAUGAGCGGCCUGCGUACGAUUAGCUUGUUGGUGGGGUAAUGGCCUACCAAGGCGACGAUCGUUAGCUGGUCUGAGAGGACGACCAGCCACACUGGGACUGAGACACGGCCCAGACUCCUACGGGAGGCAGCAGUGGGGAAUAUUGGACAAUGGGCGCAAGCCUGAUCCAGCAAUGCCGCGUGGGUGAAGAAGGUCUUCGGAUUGUAAAGCCCUUUCGGCGGGGACGAUGAUGACGGUACCCGCAGAAGAAGCCCCGGCUAACUUCGUGCCAGCAGCCGCAGUAACAC
rnacentral:rRNA from 1 species